rnacentral:rRNA from 1 species
UACAGAGGUCUCAAGCGUUGUUCGGAUUCAUUGGGCGUAAAGGGUGCGUAGGCGGCGCCGUAAGUCGGGUGUGAAAUUUCGGAGCUUAACUCCGAAACUGCAUUCGAUACUGCGGUGCUUGAGGACUGGAGAGGAGACUGGAAUUCAUGGUGUAGCAGUGAAAUGCGUAGAGAUCAUGAGGAAGACCAGUGGCGAAGGCGGGUCUCUGGACAGUUCCUGACGCUGAGACGCGAAGGCCAGGGGAGCAAACGGG